rnacentral:lncRNA from 1 species
UAAAGACUGAGUGAAGAAAUCUGAGCAAAAGGGAAUCAAAUGGAGAAUUACAAAGUGAUUUCCUACAGGACACCGGAGAGUAGGAAGCCAAAGGUGGGACCCUCUUCUGACAUGUGAUCUACCCUGAGCUACUUUGACUCCUACGAUGACAAUGUUAUCACUGCCGCAUCUCUGGGAACCAGUUAUUCACAAGUACACGUUCCUUCAAGGCCCUGCUGGCUCUCUGAUGGUCCCUGCUGGAGUUGCCUGCAUCAAUGACUGAAGUGCCUCUCAACUUUGAGAGGUCAGCUUUUCAUUUCCUUGGCCUGGAUUCUCCAGUGCUGCCAAAGCUGGAAGC